AAAUUGAAGAGUUUGAUCAUGGCUCAGAUUGAACGCUGGCGGCAGGCCUAACACAUGCAAGUCGAACGGUAACAGGAAGCAGCUUGCUGCUUCGCUGACGAGUGGCGGACGGGUGAGUAAUGUCUGGGAAGCUGCCUGAUGGAGGGGGAUAACUACUGGAAACGGUAGCUAAUACCGCAUAAUGUCGCAAGACCAAAGAGGGGGACC
rnacentral:rRNA from 2 species